rnacentral:rRNA from 1 species
AACGAACGCUGGCGGCGUGGAUAAGACAUGCAAGUCGAACGGAUUAUCUCUAGUAGCAAUACUAGGGGUAGUUAGUGGCGUAAGGGUGCGUAACACGUGGGCAACCUGCCCGGAAGAGUGGGAUAGCUCGCCGAAAGGCGAAUUAAUACCGCAUGAGGCUAGGGAGGACAUCCUCCUGAGGCCAAAGUUGGUGAAAGCUAACGCUUCUGGAUGGGCCCGCGGCCUAUCAGCUAGUUGGUUGAGGUAACGGCUCACCAAGGCUAUGACGGGUAGCUGGUCUGAGAGGACGACCAGCCACACUGGAACUGAGACACGGUCCAGACACCUACGGGUGGCAGCAGUCGAGAAUUUUUCUCAAUGGGGGAAACCCUGAAGGAGCGACGCCGCGUGGAGGAUGAAGGUCUUCGGAUUGUAAACUCCUGUCAUUGGUGAACAAGGUCUACCGGGUAACUACCGGUGGGAUUGAUAGUAGCCGAAGAGGAAGAGACGGCUAACUCUGUGCCAGCAGCCGCGGUAAUAC